rnacentral:rRNA from 1 species
UACGAAGGGGGCUAGCGUUGCUCGGAAUCACUGGGCGUAAAGAGCUCGUAGGCGGUCUGUCGCGUCUGCUGUGAAAACUCAGGGCUUAACCCUGAGCUUGCAGUGGGUACGGGCAGACUAGAGUGCGGUAGGGGAGACUGGAAUUCCUGGUGUAGCGGUGAAAUGCGCAGAUAUCAGGAGGAACACCGGUGGCGAAGGCGGCCUUCUGGACAGUGACUGACGCUGAGACGCGAAAGCGUGGGGAGCAAACAGG